rnacentral:tRNA from 1 species
GGGGAGGUACCAGAGCGGUCAAAUGGGUAGGUCUGUAUAUCCGUUGCUUCGGCUACGUAGGUUCGAAUCCUACCCUCCCCA